UACGUAGGGUGCAAGCGUUAAUCGGAAUUACUGGGCGUAAAGCGUGCGCAGGCGGUUUUGUAAGUCUGAUGUGAAAUCCCCGGGCUCAACCUGGGAAUUGCGUUGGAGACUGCAAGGCUAGAAUCUGGCAGAGGGGGGUAGAAUUCCACGUGUAGCAGUGAAAUGCGUAGAGAUGUGGAGGAACACCGAUGGCGAAGGCAGCCCCCUGGGCCAAGAUUGACGCUCAUGCACGAAAGCGUGGGGAGCAAACAGG
rnacentral:rRNA from 1 species